rnacentral:rRNA from 1 species
UACGAAGGGGGCUAGCGUUGCUCGGAAUUACUGGGCGUAAAGGGCGCGUAGGCGGCACUGUUAGUCAGGCGUGAAAGUCCUGGGCUCAACCUGGGAACUGCGUUUUGAAACUACAAGGCUAGAGUGUGGCAGAGGGGGGUGGAAUUCCGACGUGUAGCAGUGAAAUGCGUAGAGAUGUGGAGGAACACCGAUGGCGAAGGCAGCCCCCCUGGGUUAACACUGACGCUCAGGCACGAAAGCGUGGGGAGCAAACAGG